rnacentral:tRNA from 5 species
GGAGAGAUGGCAGAGUGGUCGAAUGCGGUGGUCUUGAAAACCAUUGUACGGCAACGUACCGGGGGUUCGAAUCCCUCUCUCUCCG